GUCUCUGCAGCAGGAGGAGGACGAGGCCAGGAGCCCUGACGGUGCAGACACACAUAAGACCCCAGGGGGGGACGUGGCAACUUCCUGUUCGUGAGUCACCCUUGUCACAGUAGUCAGUCACUGGGCUCAGGACCCAGGAAAGGGCUUCUUGGGCCUGAACAUUCCAUCACGGGGUUAUCCUGGGGAGGGCAGGGGGGGCAAUCUCUCGAACAGAUGAAUGUUCUCAAUGACUGAACCUUACCUCUUUAACCAGGUAAUUUCAAUAAGGAGCUGGUUUGGAAGAGAAAAGAGCUCCGGGUGAAGAAGCGGAUGGCUCUGGGGUGUGUUCUAGAGAAUUUCUGGAUUUUAACCCCAGGGGGCUUCCCCACGAGUGCUCAAUGCUCCCUGCCCCACACCACCUGCAGCUGCAUUCAGGACCUUUUUUCUCCCCCCAAGGGAGAGCAGCACAUCGUCGUAACCAGUGCCGGGCACUUUCCUCACCAUCUCAGUCCUGGCCAGCCCUCAUCUUGGAACUGGGAAGGAUUCUGUCCAAAGCAAGAAUGGGUCAUGAAAGGGAUCUCCAGUCCCCAUCACUGAAUGGGCCCCAGGGACCGGCCCCACCUGGUUACAUACAGCGCCUUUGGGCUUAUCACGGGCAGGGUGACUCCAGGUCCUUUGCUAUGAGGUCACUUAAACUUCUCUGCAGGAUUGGCUGCCCCAGCGAUUAUCCUUUGGAGAGGAGAGAAUCAACAGAACGGGAGAUGACGGCCUCAGAAUUGCACCUGUCACAGAGCUGCUGGCAUCCACGUCCCCUGGGGUGCCCCUCAGGAUGCAGAUUCCUGGGGCUGACACAUCUCCUCUGCACAGAAGGAGUUGAGGGCGAGCCUCCUUAACAUGCCGGUAAACCAGCACCCCAUUGCUUGGCGGAGGGAGCGCAAGGCAGCUCCUCUCAGGGCUCCACUCCUGCACUGCUGCUUCUGCUGGGAAUGGCUCUACACCGGGAGGCACCUUUGAUCAUUGAUAUCUCGCUGGAUGGCUGGCCCCGGGUGAGGGGGUGAGCAGGAGGGAGGAGAAAAUAGAUGAGAAUGGAUGCGUUUCUCCCCGAGUUACACACACGAUUCUUUUUUUGUUUCUCUUUGCGUUUCCACACGACAAAUUCGUCUCCUUGUUUUUCUUUCCAAAAUAUCCCCUCCUACCCAUGUCCUCACUGCCUCUGGCCUGGACCAGGCCCAGGCCCUGACCCUCAGCAGCUGUCUGUCCCCUGAGACCUGCCACGUCCCCAGGCCAGGACAGAGCCCGUGGAGAAAAGACAGGAAAAAUGGCGAUCAUUGGGAGUGGAGUGGGGGGGGGCGUCCUUAAACCGAUGGCUUGAGUAAUUGGAGUGGAUGCGCAUCGUGUCCUGGGAGGAAGAUUCUGUGAAUCUGUGUGGUCUGAGUGGACAAGUUCAUGCCGCUGACUUCGGGCUGAUCUUGGCUCUGCCCGGAGGCGACUUGGCUCUGAUAAGCCGACCUCUAGCUGAGCCUUUUGGUUUCUGAGAAGUGGAGGAAUCACUGGGAGUCAACCCGAUCUUCCAAGAUAAAGGGCCAACCUUAGAUGGAUCUAUUAUUUCCUUGAGAUCUUGGAACAGUGCUUUUAUUUGUCCAAUGACGUUUAUCUAUUAAACAUCUGUGAAACCCUGGGUGGUUACAGACGCGGCAGUAGGUGGUCACGGAUUGGAGAGAGUGAAUGAUGACUCAUCGAAGGCGUCCUUUAUCAUUCUUCAGGGGAUUAAAGACAUGACUCAAAAUUGUUCAAAUGAAAUGCAACCAAUUUAUAUCUGCCGUUAAUACGUAACUGACUAGAUAAAACAAUAGUUAUUCAUUACUCACCAGAAAUCUGGUUUGCAUAAGUCCGUUUUUUAUUUAAAUCAAACUUUCCCAUCUCUAUAAAAGCAUUUUUUCAUGGA